GAUGAACGCUGGCGGCGUGCCUAAUACAUGCAAGUCGAGCGAACAGACGAGGAGCUUGCUCCUCUGACGUUAGCGGCGGACGGGUGAGUAACACGUGGAUAACCUACCUAUAAGACUGGGAUAACUUCGGGAAACCGGAGCUAAUACCGGAUAAUAUAUUGAACCGCAUGGUUCAAUAGUGAAAGACGGUUUUGCUGUCACUUAUAGAUGGAUCCGCGCCGCAUUAGCUAGUUGGUAAGGUAACGGCUUACCAAGGCGACGAUGCGUAGCCGACCUGAGAGGGGGAUCGCCCAACCUGGAACUGAGACACGGUCCAGACCCCUAGGGGAGGCAGCAGGAGGGAAUCUGCCGCAAGGGGCGAAAGCCUGACGGAGCAACGCCGCGUGAGUGAUGAAGGUCUUCGGAUGGUAAAACUCUGUUAUUAGGGAAAAAAAAAUGUGUAAGUAACUAUGCACGUUUUGACGGUACCAAAUAAAAAAGCCCCGGCUAACUACGU
rnacentral:rRNA from 1 species